rnacentral:rRNA from 1 species
CAUUGUUGGAGAGUUUGAUCCUGGCUCAGGACGAACGCUGGCGGCGUGCUUAACACAUGCAAGUCGAACGAUGAAGCCU